UACGUAGGUCCCGAGCGUUGUCCGGAUUUAUUGGGCGUAAAGCGAGCGCAGGUGGUUUAUUAAGUCUGGUGUAAAAGGCAGUGGCUCAACCAUUGUAUGCAUUGGAAACUGGUAGACUUGAGUGCAGGAGAGGAGAGUGGAAUUCCAUGCGUAGCGGUGAAAUGCGUAGAUAUAUGGAGGAACACCGGUGGCGAAUGCGGCUCUCUGGCCUGUAACUGACACUGAGGCUCGAAAGCGUGGGGAGCAAACAGG
rnacentral:rRNA from 1 species